UCCUUGGACCACAACCACUCCUCCUCCCAGCGUUUGUGAGGAGACAAGAGAUGGAGCCGGUCCGGCCGGGAGAGCAAAUGAGGUGACAGUGCAGCCCCACUGGAACUUUGUCUUGAAGAUAGCCAGGACAUCAUCAAUUCCGGUACAAGUGCAAGAAAGAAUCACCAGACACUGGAUAGUAUAGAAUGGAACGCUGUCUUUAAGAUAUCCAGGACAUCAUCAAUUCCAGUAGAAUUGCAAGACAGAAUCACCAGACACUGGAUAGCAUAGAAUGGUAUUUCACAAAGGCAAUUUCAAAGAUCACCCUAAUGGAGAAGAGCAAAAUACAUAUACACCAACAGCAUUGCAUAAUACGUGUAUUUCACAAAGGCAAUUUCAAAAGAUCACACUAAUGAAGAAUCGCAAAGUCCAAGAGAAGCAUGAAAACUGUAUACACUAUUUUUAGUAAAAUUUGUAAAUACAAAUACAUUAACAUAAUAAAAAGUGCAUCUUUAUUGCA